GAUGAAGAACGCAGCGAAAUGCGAUAACUAAUGUGAAUUGCAGAAUUCCGUGAAUCAUCGAGUCUUUGAACGCACAUUGCGCCCCCUGGUAUUCCGGGGGGCAUGCCUGUCCGAGCGUCAUUGCAACCCUCAAGCACGGCUUGUCUAAUGGGCGGUUCGUCUGCGGCCAUCCGCCGGAGACGCCCCCGAAAUGCAGUGGGGAUGUUCGCUAAAUCGCAGCGUCAGGAAUGGAAAUAAACAAUGCUGACGGCUCGAUGUCGAACGUCCACCUAAGGCGGGCCGCCCCCCGGGGUGUGCCGCCCAACCUCUCUCGGUUGACCUCGGAUCAGGUAGGGAUACCCGCUGAACUUAAGCAUAUCAAUAAGCGGAGGA
rnacentral:misc_RNA from 1 species